CUGCUUUUUCAGACAUGCCAUGCCAUUCCCAGAAUGAACUUCAAGUAUCUGGCAGAGUUUUGUGUGACUCAGGAAGGUAGCAACUAUGAAAGGAGCCAAGGUGGAAAUUUUCCAGUGGAUAAUCCACUGUGUGUGUGGGGAACAUAAGUUAGAAUUACUUUCUGCUUAUUGGUAAUCUAGGACCAAUCUUGGAAGAGUUGACUAAUGGAAAGGAGAAGUUGGCCCAAAGUAAUUUGGCUUGCGUAAUUUGAUUUAUGACAAAAAAAAAACGCAGAACAAAAAACCAAAAACAACCAGAAAAAGGCAUGUUUUUGUUGCACAGCAGAGAAACACGUUUACUUGUCAGUUCAUGGCUUCAGUUUACAGGCACCCCACCCACCAAGAUGGACAGAGAUGAUGAUGUUGGUGGUGUUGAUGUUGGAGGUCAAUAUCCAAUGGUUUUCAUUCUGGUGGGGGGCAUGGUGGAGGAGGGCAUGGUGGAGGAGGGGGACAUGGAGGGGGACUUUUUGGUGGGCAGCAUUUAGGUGGGCAAGGAGGAGGACAUGGUGCUGGGCAGCAUUUAGGUGGGCAAGGAGGAGGACAUGGUGGUGGGCAGGAUUUAGGUGGGCAAGGCUUAGGGCAAGGAGGAGGACAUGGGACACAUUUGGGUGGGCAGGUUGGGGCGCAUUUCUCAGAGCACCGCUGCAGAAGUUUCUUCAGGCAGCUUGGUUGGCACCUGGGCUCACAACACUUGGGUUCACACUUAGGCUCAUAGGGCUUGUUUUUGUCUUCUUCAUUUGGCAUGUGGUUUUCUUUUUCCAGAUUCUAGAAAUGAAGAAGCAUCAGAUAGACACAUGUGAGGAGGACGAAUUGGAGAGACUUUGUACAGCCCCUAUCUUUUGUUUUCGCUCACAUAUCGAUCCUUUAUCCUUUAGGAUUUCCCAGCUCUAUAAAGGGGCUCUUGCUGACACUGCAGCCAUCCGCCAGCCACCCGGUCUUCAUCUGCGUUGGAGCAUUUGGGUGAGUCUGAGAUUCUUCAGGGCUCAUCUUGGGACUGGGAUUCCUCUUGGAGGCUGAUGG
rnacentral:lncRNA from 1 species